rnacentral:rRNA from 1 species
GAUGAACGCUGGCGGCGUGCCUAAUACAUGCAAGUCGAGCGAAUGGAUUAAGAGCUUGCUCUUAUGAAGUUAGCGGCGGACGGGUGAGUAACACGUGGGUAACCUGCCCAUAAGACUGGGAUAACUCAGGGAAACCGGGGCUAAUACCGGAUAACAUUUUGAACCGCAUGGUUCGAAAUUGAAAGGCGGCUUCGGCCGUCCAUUAUGGAUUGACCCGCGUAGGAUUAGCUAGUUGGUGAGGUAACGGCUCACCAAGGCAACGAAGCGGAGCCGACCUGAGAGGGUGAUCGGCCACACUGGGACUGAGACACGGCCCAGACGCCUACGGGAGGCAGCAGUAGGGAAUCUUCCGCAAUGGACGAAAGUCUGACGGAGCAACGCCGCGUGAGUGAUGAAGGCUUUCGGGUCGUAAAACUCUGUUGUUAGGGAAGAACAAGUGCUAGUUGAAUAAGCUGGCACCUUGACGGUACCUAACCAGAAAGCCACGGCUAACUACGUGCCAGCCGCCGCAGUAA